UACGUAGGGUGCAGGCGUUAAUCGGAAUUACUGGGCGUAAAGCGUGCGCAGGCGGUUUCUUAAGUCAGAUGUGAAAGCCCCGGGCUUAACCUGGGAACUGCGUUUGAAACUGGGAGACUUGAGUGUGGCAGAGGGGGGUGGAAUUCCAGGUGUAGCGGUGAAAUGCGUAGAUAUCUGGAGGAACACCGGUGGCGAAGGCGGCGUUCUGGACUGCAACUGACACUGAGGAACGAAAGCCAGGGGAGCAAACGGG
rnacentral:rRNA from 1 species